GAUGGAACGCCCGGUGGAGCGGUGAAAUGCAUAGAGAUCGGGCAGAACACCAGUGGGGAAGCCGGUCACCUGGCACGGACCUGACGCUGAGGCGCGACAGCGUGGGGAGCAAACGGGAUUAGAUACCCCGGUAGUCCACGCCGUAAACGAUGUGGAGCAGGUGUGGGGGCGUGAUUGCGCGCCUCCGUGCCGCAGCUUACGCGCUGACUCCACCGCCUGGGAACUACGGCCGCAAGGCUAAAACUCAAAGGAAUUGACGGGGGCCCGCACAAGCAGCGGAGCGUGUGGUUUAAUUCGACGCAACACGAAGCACCUCACCCAGGCUUGACAUGCCGCUGCAGGGCGCGGAAACGCGCCGGCCUUUGAGGGAGCGGCACCGGUGCUGCAUGGCUGUCGUCAGCUCGUG
rnacentral:rRNA from 1 species